UGCAAGUCGAACGGUAACAGGAAGCAGCUUGCUGCUUCGCUGACGAGUGGCGGACGGGUGAGUAAUGUCUGGGAAGCUGCCUGAUGGAGGGGGAUAACUACUGGAAGCGGUAGCUAAUACCGCAUAAUGUCGCAAGACCAAAGAGGGGGACCUUCGGGCCUCUUGCCAUCGGAUGUGCCCAGAUGGGAUUAGCUUGUUGGUGGGGUAACGGCUCACCAAGGCGACGAUCCCUAGCUGGUCUGAGAGGAUGACCAGCCACACUGGAACUGAGACACGGUCCAGACUCCUACGGGAGGCAGCAGUGGGGAAUAUUGCACAAUGGGCGCAAGCCUGAUGCAGCCAUGCCGCGUGUAUGAAGAAGGCCUUCGGGUUGUAAAGUACUUUCAGCGGGGAGGAAGGGAGUAAAGUUAAUACCUUUGCUCAUUGACGUUACCCGCAGAAGAAGCACCGGCUAACUCCGUGCCAGCAGCCGCGGUAAUACGGAGGGUGCAAGCGUUAAUCGGAAUUACUGGGCGUAAAGCGCACGCAGGCGGUUUGUUAAGUCAGAUGUGAAAUCCCCGGGCUCAACCUGGGAACUGCAUCUGAUACUGGCAAGCUUGAGUCUCGUAGAGGGGGGUAGAAUUCCAGGUGUAGCGGUGAAAUGCGUAGAGAUCUGGAGGAAUACCGGUGGCGAAGGCGG
rnacentral:rRNA from 1 species